rnacentral:lncRNA from 1 species
UGGAGACAGGGUCUCACUAUAUUGCCAAGGCUGGUCUCAAAUUCUUGGCCACAAGUGAUCAUCCUUCCUUGGCCUCCAAAAGUGGUGGGAUUGCAAGAAUGAGCCACUGGGCCCAACUGAAAAGGCUCUUUCUUACAGUAAAAUGACAACUAAGAAUUGUGGAAAAAAUAAUAUAGUCAGAAAGUUACAAUUUGGCAAACAUCAGAGUAAUAAUUGAUCAGACAAAAAUUACUAAUAGAUACCAAAAUUAGUGGGUGAAAUUUUAAUGAGAACGAGAACAUUUACAUAGUUCCAAAGUGUUUUCCAUAUAUUAAUUAUUAACGUCAAAAGGAAAAAUAGUGACUUUACCAUGUAAAAUCCUGACAGAAAACAUCUUAACCAAGUACUGGGUAAUGGAACAGAUCAACGUUCUCUUCUUCUUGACGUGAUGGGACAGACCAACAUCAUGUUCCUUUUGAUGUGAUGUCCUACGGCAAAUACCACAACAAUUCUACAGCAUUUCUCCUAAAGAAAGCAUAACCUCAAUCUAGUUAUGAAGAAACAUCAGAAGCCAAACUAAAGGACACGGGACAAAAUGAACUGUGCUUUUGAAAACAUCAAGGACAUGAAUGACAAAGGGAAGAGUCUACAAGGAAAAGAAGAAUAAAAGAGAAAACAAUCACUAUCCACCCCCAACCCUCCCUGUUCCUCCAGAAGUUACCCUUUUGGAAGAAUCCUGGCAAACUUUUCUCUGGGAAAUCUGACCAACCAGUGAAAACAAUUAAAUAAAUUAUAUUUGGAUUCCCCUAAUAAAUUUCUCAGUCAGUUGACUUAUGGUCCAUUUUUACCAUAUGGUAAAGCUCAAGUUGAAAAGCAUCACCCAAGUGUGAUGAGUUAUUAAUCAGCCUUUUAUCUCACUUUUAAAUAUAAGCAAAUAUCUAAGGAUUACCACAUAUCAAGAAAAUCCUCAAAUCCUUAAAGAUGAAAGGUAAAGACACAGAGAAAAGCAGCUUGGAAGAAACAGACUAAUAUACAGGAAAGAAAUUUGUAUAAAGAAAAGGAGACCUCUUGCAUUUUAACAAAAUGAGAAAAGCAAUGAAAAAUGCAUUAGAAGAAUUGGAGGAUAAAAUUGAGAGAAUAUUCCAAAAAGUAGAGAAAAAGAGACAAAGAGAUGAAAAAUAGGAGAGAAAGUGUAGAAAAAUUAGAGGACCAUUCUAUACAGUCCAAUAUUUGAAUAAUAGUUAUUCAAAAAAAAAGAGGCAAGAAAAUGAAGGGGAG